rnacentral:misc_RNA from 1 species
GAUGAAGAACGCAGUGAAAUGCGAUAAGUAAUGUGAAUUGCAGAAUUCAGUGAAUCAUCGAAUCUUUGAACGCACCUUGCGCCCUUUGGCUAUUCCGAAGGGCAUGCCUGUUUGAGUAUCAUGAACACCUCAACUCUCAUGGUUUGCCAUGAUGAGCUUGGACUUUGGGGGUCUUGCCGGCCUAUGGGUCGGCUCCUCUCAAAUUAAUCAGCUUGCCAGUGUUUGGUGGCAUCACAGGUGUGAUAACUAUCUACGCUUGUGGUUUUCCAUCAGGUAACCUUCAGUGAUGGAGGUUCGCUGGGGCUCAUAAAUGUCUCUCCUCAGUGAGGACAGCUUUUUUGAACGUUUGAUCUCAAAUCAGGUAGGACUACCCGCUGAACUUAAGCAUAUCAAUAGCGGAGGA